CCUACGGGAGGCAGCCGUGAGGAAUAUUGGUCAAUGGACGAGAGUCUGAACCAGCCAAGUAGCGUGAAGGAUGACUGCCCUAUGGGUUGUAAACUUCUUUUAUAUGGGAAUAAAAUGUUCCACGUGUGGGCUUUUGUAUGUACCAUAUGAAUAAGGAUCGGCUAACUCCGUGCCAGAAGCCGCGGUAAUACGGAGGAUCCGAGCGUUAUCCGGAUUUAUUGGGUUUAAAGGGAGCGUAGGUGGAUUGUUAAGUCAGUUGUGACAGUUUGCGGCUCAACCGUGAAAUUGCAUGUGAAACUGGCAGUCUUGAGUACAGUAGAGGUGGUCGGCAUUCGUGGUGUAGCGGUGAAAUGCUUAGAUAUCACGAAGAACACCGAUGGCGAAGGCAGCUCACUGGACUGCAACUGACACUGAGGCUCGAAAGUGUGGGUAUCAAACAGGAUUAGAUACCCCUGUAGUC
rnacentral:rRNA from 1 species